ACUUCGCCUGCAGUCACACAGACACACACACACAAGGCACUAGGUUAUAUCAACACUAGGUGCUGUUGCGUCCAGCUACAGUGGGCAGUCUUGCUUUAAGGCAUGCGAUGCCUCUCCUUUCCUCUCCCACUCGCGAGGCGUAUUGUCAUACACACAAACACGCCUGCACUCACAUUGGCACACGCACACCAGUCAGUGGGAAGAGGAGAGACUCGUACUGAGUGGCUUCUCAAUGGGAGGAAAGAGAGGAGACACGGAGAGAGCAAGCACGUGAGAGAGAGAGAGUGAAAGCGUGCUACACAGAAGUGCCGUCGCGUGCGCUGGAGCCUCCGUCUGUUUGCCAAAAGUGAAGAGGGAAAUUAGCUUGUGAUCUUUCAGAAGAAGCAUUACCUUCAGAGAAGAGAGAGAGCGGGAGGCUGAGGAAUAGGAAGAAUGUUGCUUCUGUGGUGAAGUAAAUGUGACAUGUCAAGCUGCUCCUCUCAAAUCCAAGCUAGUUUCUGACGUUUCACGGCUCCGAGGGGAGAAUUUGGUGUUGGGUGCUUGACUGUGUUCAGAGGAUUGCUGGAAGACUUACGACAAGCGGGAAACAAGGGCAGGAGAAGGGCUCAUCUUCUUUUUAGUUUGAUCCGAACAGGAACUUUGCUGGGGAGCUCUUUCCCGAGAGCAUGGAUGGAUAUGUGACAAUGUUUGUCUGAGGAUUUUUAUAGGAACGUUUAACGCACAUUUCUUUGGCAUUCUCCUGAUCACAUCGCACAGCCAGCGCUCCUGCCAUGUCCUGGUUCCUCGGUCUGUGGAUAAGUGUCAGCUGCCUACUGCUCUGCCACGCCACUUUGUACGAGACCAUCCAACAGCAUCAUGUGACCCAUCCAGGCCGCAAUGCCAUACAGAUUCUCGAGGGAGGAACAUGUGAGGUCAUCGCUGCACACAGAUGUUGCAACAAGAACCGCAUUGAGGAACGCUCGCAGACGGUCAAGUGCUCAUGUUUACCAGGGAAAGUGGCCGGCACUACACGGAACAAACCCUCUUGUGUAGACGCUUCUAUCGUGAUUGGGAAGUGGUGGUGUGAGAUGGAGCCGUGUUUGGAGGGGGAGGAGUGUAAGACUCUACCUGAUAACUCCGGCUGGAUGUGUUCUUCUGGGAACAAGAUCAAGACCACGAGGAACACGCAGCCAUACUCAACAUUUUAGCUCCGAGGGCCACAGAGGCUCAACAGAAGCUCAGCGGCGUCCGUCUACUCAUCAAGAGAGGGACCACUCCUUGCCUGUACAGUAGCUCCAGACAAGGCAGGCCUCUUUUGAGGAAGGCACACAAUGCAAGAGGCUGAGAGAGACCCUCACACUCGCCCUGCAUAGACCUUCUUUUACCGGUUCCUAAUGGCUAUAGCAUUCGGUUCCUUUAUAUACAAAUAAAAUCAAUGCUUUAAAAAGAAGAUACAUACUAGAGGCAUACAGCUUUCCCCAAUUCAUAUACCUCCAUCCUUAUGUGUCUCGUGUGAGAGGAGACAUGGACUGCCGUGGCGAUGGGUCUUAUUUGCUCAACAGUGUGCACCUAAAUAGGCAACAUGCACUUAUUACAUGCAAUUAUUAGUGAAUAAAAGCCCUUAAAGGGAUAGUUCACCCAAAAAUGAAAAGUCUGUCUUUAUUUACUCAGCCUCUUGUCUUUUCAAAUCUGUAUGAAUUUCUUUAUUCUGCAAAAAAAAAAAGAUAUUCUGAAGAAUAGUGCGGUACCCAUUCACUUCUGUUGUAUGGACACAAAACCAAUGCAAAUCAAUGGAUACCGCCGUUGUUUAGUUACCAACAUUCUUCAAAAUAUAUUUUAUGAUUUGCAGAAGAUAUAAAGUCAUACAGGUUUGAAAUGACAAGAGGGUGAGUAAACGAUGACAACAUUUUCAUUUUGGGGUGAACUGUUCCUUUAAGAGCAUUUAAAUAAUAUGGUCACAAACCUGGGAAUUUUAACCUAAACCAUUUGUUUUGUUUUUAUUUCAUGUCAUAAAUCGUGCAAUCUUUAGUCCGCACGUUCCACACAGAAAUAAACUCCUAUUGGAAACAUGGCGUUCAGUUUUCAACAUGUUCUGGUCAUAUUUUCCCAUUUCCUUCCCGAGUCAGAUUUAGUGGGCAGUUAUAUGUCUUUGAAACACAUGUUCAUAACAGAAGGCGUUUUACCAGAUACCUGUGCUUUGUGAAAAAACAAAACCCCAUCUGGGUGGCUUUUCAGAGCAGAAGUAAUAUGCCAAGUGAUGAAGCCGAAGAUUAUAUGUGGUAAAAUUGCAUGAUUAUCAAGUCAGUUCCCAGCGGUCCUGUUGAACCCGGUGCCUUGCUGUAUCUGUAUCUCUUUGCCGCUGUCAAUGUCACAUUAAAUUAAUUCUAACACAUUCAUGCUGUCUGGAGUCUUGCUGUAUGUUAUCCUCAUUUAAAAGUCUCAUUCGACGACAGGACAAAUCUACACCAGAUUACAGUUUUUAAUGCAUGGGGCAAUUGUGAUGCAAAACGCAUUUAAAUGUCAUUUGUGAAUUAGAAUGCAAAUAAGGCACGUGACGACCGUGAUGUGGAUCCGGACCGAUCGCUGAUGCGGUAGAGACAGCAGAGGUCACCUGCGCUGAGAUGCAGAGAAAUAUGACAACAUUUGCAUAGCACCUCUAUCCAUUGCAACAAACCGCAUAGGGAGAGACAGAGCCGUGCAUGCUAGCAGACAGCUGAAGACAAAUUGCAUCAGGGUCACUAUGGUACUUUUUUGUAAAAUAUGCGCAGGCUGGGAAAUGCGAAAUCGCAUGCAAGGCUUGUGGAAAAAUGAGGCAUGUUCAGCAUAGCACAAACAAAAAGCGGUUUAGCACAAAAUGGAUUUCUGGGACAGAGCUGUCAGCCAAAGUUUACAUGCUGUCAGCGGACGUAAGGAUUUGAGUCCGGCAAAACGGAUUAUUUAAAACAAAGAGAUUACUGCCUUCUUUGUCAAAGAAGCAUCCGUCUUCCCUUGUCCCGAGUUAAUUUAGCUGGAACGCCAUGGAAGUUCAGUUCAUUAUUGAGGUUAGUCACGCAGCGUUCGUUGUGAUGUCAUUGGCUAGCUGAGUGAUGCCCAAUUUCUUCACGGAAGCCAUCCGAGCUGCAAUGACUGCCGUGAACUGGUUCCUCUCCAGGGAAUCCAAUAUGACGGACAGCUCCUCUGCCUCUACCAGGCCGUGCCUAUAAUGAUGAGAACACGUGGGGCGUAACAUUGCCGCAUGACAGCUGUCUGUCUGUUGGGUUACGAGGGGCCUCAAGGGGUGCUUCUAAUUUUUGUCCCCAGUCUCUCUCUCUCUCUGUCUGUGUGUCUCUCUCUCAAUCUGUAGCUUACACCUGGAACACUUAAUUUGGGAAAUGUCAGCGUAUGCUUUAUGUGCUGAGGGCGAAGCCACGGGCUUGAGCUUUUAAUUAGCUUCAUUGUACUGAUGACAUCACGACUUGCCGAUACAGAACCCACAACAAGCGCUUGCGUUUAUGUGCAUGAGAGAGAGACUCAGACUGAGAAGAUCAUAUUAAACAUUCAUUAUAUGAGGAUUGGUGGAUGUUUGCUUUCUGGGAAGCAGGUCUGCACUGACGUAAGUUGUCUAAUUGUUAGUGACUGGGUUUGUUAUCAUGCAUUUCCUCCAGUGUGAGCAAAGCCUGAGUAAAAAUGCUGCACGGAGAGCGAGACGCACUCACCAGACACACUAAAUAGGGGUCCGUGAACUCACCGAGAGAGAAAACGAGAGAAACAGAGGAAGAAUAUUAUUUCCCUCUUGGCAUUGCUGCCUAGUUCUUUUCAUUGCAAAGUAAACAGGGAUGAUGCUGAGAUGUGAUUGGCUAGCGCCAUGAUGUGCAAGAGGCCACAGCGAUGGAUACGCAUUCACACACGCAACUCAUUUUACAGCAUAGCGACAGUCAGAUAUCAGUCUGGCAUCCUACAGAUGUGUACACAACGUCAUCCAUACACAAACAAUGGCUUCACAAUUCCAAUGAGUGCUCCUUGUGGCUUUGAAAAUUUAAAAUUCAGUCGACCCCUUUGGGAAUCGCCCAAGCAUUUGACCUUUGUUCUAAGCAUGCAUUUGUGUGUUUUCCCCUCCC